rnacentral:rRNA from 1 species
AGGGAAUCUUCGGCAAUGGACGGAAGUCUGACCGAGCAACGCCGCGUGAGUGAAGAAGGUUUUCGGAUCGUAAAGCUCUGUUGUAAGAGAAGAACGAGUGUGAGAGUGGAAAGUUCACACUGUGACGGUAUCUUACCAGAAAGGGACGGCUAACUACGUGCCAGCAGCCGCGGUAAUACGUAGGUCCCGAGCGUUGUCCGGAUUUAUUGGGCGUAAAGCGAGCGCAGGCGGUUAGAUAAGUCUGAAGUUAAAGGCUGUGGCUUAACCAUAGUAGGCUUUGGAAACUGUUUAACUUGAGUGCAAGAGGGGAGAGUGGAAUUCCAUGUGUAGCGGUGAAAUGCGUAGAUAUAUGGAGGAACACCGGUGGCGAAAGCGGCUCUCUGGCUUGUAACUGACGCUGAGGCUCGAAAGCGUGGGGAGCAAACAGGAUUAGAUACCCUGGUAGUCCACGCUGUAAACGAUGAGUGCUAGGUGUUAGACCCUUUCCGGGGUUUAGUGCCGUAGCUAGCGCAUUAAGCACUCCGCCUGGGGAGUACGACCGCAAGGUUG